GAUGAACGCUGGCGGCGUGCCUAAUACAUGCAAGUCGAGCGAACAGAUGAGGAGCUUGCUCCUCUGACGUUAGCGGCGGACGGGUGAGUAACACGUGGAUAACCUCCCUAUAAGACUGGGAUAACUUCGGGAAACCGGAGCUAAUACCGGAUAAUAUAUUGAACCGCAUGGUUCAAUAGUGAAAGACGGUUUUGCUGUCACUUAUAGAUGGAUCCGCGCCGCAUUAGCUAGUUGGUAAGGCAACGGCUUACUAAGGCAACGAUGCGUAGCCGACCUGAAAGAGGGAUCGGCCGCACGAGAGCUGGAACAGGCACAAGACGCCUGAGGGAGGCACCAGACGGGAAUCUGCGGCAGUGGGCGAAAACCUUACAGAACAGCCGCGAGUGAGUUGCGACGAUCUUGGGUUCGUAAAACAGUGUUUUUGGGGAUAAACAAAUGUGUGAGGAGAUAUGCCGGUCUUGACGGUACCUGCUCAGGAAGCCCCGGCUAACUACGUG
rnacentral:rRNA from 1 species